rnacentral:sRNA from 10 species
UGCGGGAUGCCGAAGUCGGGUUCCGCGAUAUGAACCUUGCUGAAAUUUCAGGAGAAUACUCAUGAGC